GGGUUGUGAGGUUAAGCGACUAAGCGUACACGGUGGAUGCCUAGGCAGUCAGAGGCGAUGAAGGGCGUGCUAAUCUGCGAUAAGCGUCGGCAAGGUGAUAUGAACCGUUAUACCCGACGAUACCCGAAUGGGGAAACCCAGUGUGUUUCGACACACUAUCAUGACAUGAAUCCACAGUGUCAUGAGGCGAAACCGGGGGAACUGAAACAUCUCAGUACCCCGAGGAAAAGA
rnacentral:rRNA from 1 species